UCCACUGAAGGGACAGAAGUUUAGUUUGUCAGAGCUCAUUCAUGAAUGUAUCCCAGAAACUGAGUCCAUCAGCCUGGAGGCUCUGAAUUACAUCUUUACACAUCUACAGUCAUCAGGAAACAGCAACUAUGACAAGAGCAGCUUCAAACUUCUGUUUGUGUUUGAUGGACUGGACGAGAGUCGCCUCCAACUGGACUGUAGCACCAGUGAGAAGGAGACGGGUCAACGUGACGUCACAGAGUCCACCUCAGUGGAUGAGCUGCUGACAAACCUCAUCAGAGGAAACUACUACGCUCUGCUCGCAUCUGGAUCACCACACGACCUGCAGCAGCCAAUCAGAUUCAUGGAGACUUUGUUGAGGUGGUGACGGAGGUCAGAGGGUUCACUGACCCACAGAAGGAGGAGUUCUUCAGGAAGAGAUUCACAGAUGAGGAGCAGAGCAACACAAUCAUGUCCCACAUCAAGACGGCACGAAGCCUCCACAUCAUGUGCCACAUCCCAGUCUUCUGCUGGAUCACUGCUAUGGUUCUGGAGGAUCUGCUGGAAACCAGAGAGGGAGGAGAGCUGCCCAAGACCCUGACGGAGAUGUACGCAGAGUUCCUGGGGUUCCAGAUGGAUCGGACUAAAGACAAGUACGGACCAGAACAGAGCAGCAACUACAUCAAGUCAUUGGCUAAACUGGCUUUUAAGCAGCUGCUAAAGGGAAACUUGAUCUUCUAUGAGGAAGAUCUGAAAGAGAGCGGCAUCGAUGUCAGAGGAGCCUCAGUGUGUUCAGGAGUGUUCACAGAGAUCUUUAAACAGGAGCGAGGGAGGAAAACCAAGGACAAGAUGUUCAGCUUUGUUCAUCUGAGCGUUCAGGAGUUUCUGGCUGCUGUUCACAUGAUGCUCUGUUACACCAACGGGAAGAUGGAGGAACUGGAGGAGUUUCUGAAAGACUCAAAACACAACAAAUUAAUUCUUAAAAAAUUAAAAGUGGUGUUUGGAAAUAAAAGUGCUGAGCUUUAUUCUGAAGGUUUCCCGUCUCUGGAUGUUGUCCUGAGUAGAACCAUGUUUAAAUCCCUCCUCAGUCCAAGUGGCCACCUGGACCUGUUUGUUUCGCUUCCUUCAUGGCCUCUGUCUGGAGUCCAACCAGAGAAUCUUAGGAGGUUUGCUGGGUCACACAGAGAACAGUCCAGAAACCAUCCAGACAAUCAUCAACAACCUGAAGGAGAUGAACAGUGAUAAAAUCUCUCCAGACAGAAGCAUCAACAUCUUCCACUGUCUGAUGGAGAUGAACGACCGCUCAGUCCAUCAACAGAUCCGAGAGUUCCUGAAGUCAGAGAACAGAUCAGAGAAGGAACUCUCCUUGAUCCAGUGCUCAGCUCUGGCCUACAUGCUGCAGAUGUCAGAGGAGGUUCUGGAUGAGUUGGACCUGGACCAGUACAACACAUCAAAGGAGGGACGACAGAGACUGAUUCCAGCUGUGAGGAACUGCAGAAAGGCUCAACUUUAUAGCUGUGGACUCACAGAGACUCACUGUGAAGUUGUGGCCUCAGCUCUGAAGUCCAACCCGUCACAUCUGACACAUCUGGACCUGAGCUACAACAACCUGCAGGACUCAUCAGUGAAGGUUCUGUGUGCUGGACUGGAGAGUCCUCACUGUCGACUGGAGACUCUGAGCAGCUUGUGAAUCAGUGAGCAUCAAAAAGCUGCAGGAUUCAGGAGUGAAGCAUCUGUGUGGUUUUCUGGAGAGUCGUCACUGUCGACUGGAGACUCUGAGGUCAGUUCACUGACUGUUACUGUUCUAGGUUCUAGGUUCUGACUGUGGUUCCACUUCAGGGAACCUGUUUAUUGACAGUUGUCUUCAGAUGAUUGUUGAGUUGAACAUGUUCUCAGAGAGUGAGUGUGAGACACAUAACAGAGCAGGAGGAGAAACCUCUGCUCAGCAGAAACUGUUGAUGCACAGACUGCCUCUUUACAAUCACAUCUACAUGUAUCUACAGUAUAUAUAUUGUCUGUAUACAACAAUCCUUCUGUUUUUAUAAAUAUUAUAUAAUUCACAUCUGUUUUCAUUCAAGGAUGACCUAAAAGUUAUGUGUAUCUGUGUUAAUGUGUGUGGUUCUCUUUCGUUCCUCAUUCUGUCUGUGAAUCCAAAAUAUUCACAGCAAUUUCCCUCUUAGAUUAUUAAAGUGUAUUAAACCUUGAAUCUACAUGGUCUCAGAAGAUGAAGCCUCAUCCAGGUGAAUGACAGCAUCAGUGCUGUGAGAUCAACCAACCACACAUUGAUGAGAAAGUUCCUCCUCUGUCUCUGUUCAGUGUCUGAACACAGACACAGAGAAACUGGAGGUUGAAACUUUGACCAUUAAGAUCAGACGAGACGUUGGAGUUUGUUUAUCAGUUUAGACAGGAACAUUUCAGUCAGGAUCAUGUUGUUGGUUCUGUCUCCAUCAAGACGACAUGGAACAAACCAAUGGAUCACAAUAAACACACAAAGAUGUUGUUACAGAAUCUGAGAGAAAAUCAUGACGACAUCAUGAGACACUGGGUGGAUUCAACUAACUGUUUUCUACUGUUUCAUCUUUGAUUCUUUAUUGAGUCUCUGCAGUUUGUCAGAGAUCAGCUGUGAUUCUCUGGUCUCAGCUCUGAAGUCCAACCCGUCACAUCUGAAACAACUGGACCUGAGUGACAACAACCUGCAGGAUUCAGGAGUGAAGCAUCUGUGUGGUUUUCUGGAGAGUCGUCACUGUCGACUGGAGACUCUGAGAUUGAGAGGCUGCAGUUUGUCAGAGAUCAGCUGUGAUUCUCUGGUCUCAGCUCUGAAGUCCAACCCGUCACAUCUGACAGAACUGGACCUCAAAUACAACAUCCUGCGGGAUUCAUCAGUGAAGGCUCUU